CCUACGGGAGGCAGCAGUAAGGAAUAUUGGUCAAUGGACGCAAGUCUGAACCAGCCAUGCCGCGUGAAGGAUGAAGGUCCUCUGGAUUGUAAACUUCUUUUAUCUGGGACGAAACACCUCUUUUCUAAGGGGCCUGACGGUACCAGAGGAAUAAGCACCGGCUAACUCCGUGCCAGCAGCCGCGGUAGUACGGAGGGUGCAAGCGUUAUCCGGAUUCACUGGGUUUAAAGGGUGCGUAGGUGGGUAUGUAAGUCAGAGGUGAAAUCCCCGAGCUUAACUUGGGAACUGCCUUUGAUACUAUAUGUCUUGAAUGUCGUAGAGGUCAGCGGAAUAUGUCAUGUAGCGGUGAAAUGCUUAGAUAUGACAUAGAACACCAAUUGCGAAGGCAGCUGGCUAUGCGAUUAUUGACACUGAGGCACGAAAGCGUGGGUAGCAAACAGGAUUAGAUACCCUGGUAGUCCACGCCCUAAACUAUGGAUACUCGACAUACGCGAUACACUGUGUGUGUCUGAGCGAAAGCAUUAAGUAUCCCACCUGGGAAGUACGACCGCAAGGUUGAAACUCAAAGGAAUUGACGGGG
rnacentral:rRNA from 1 species